AUCAUUUCAGGGCAGCCAUCAUGACUACGGCAAAACUGUACUUUCAAGAAAAGUUUUUCCCCAAUGAUGAAAUCUACAGAAAAAGCAGUCAACAUUGACGGGAAUGUCAAGACCCUGAAUGCAGCAUAACCUGGAAAACAGUCGGUUCCGAGUCCAGGCAUGCAUCAGAUUUAAGUUAAGAUUGAUGUAAGGUAAAAGAUAAACCCCAAAAAGUAGAAUCAUGUACAUGCCCAAUCAACUACUUAGCCUUCUCACAGAACAGAGUCGAAUGCAACCUGGAAAUGAGCAGUAUGUCUUGGCUUUGGACAGGACGCAUUACCAAGACCUUGAAGUAGUCUAAGGACAUCAGCUGUAUCAUCAAGGUAGUACUUGGCUUUGCUUGGCUUUUGGCCGACAGUGCAGGCAAAGAUAUCUGGGGCAGCACUGACUGACGGACUGGAUACACUGCUUAAUAUGCUCUCAAACAUGU
rnacentral:misc_RNA from 1 species